GCCGCCAGCGCACGCCGCUUGACCGAAGGGGCGGGGCCUGAGGGCGGGGCCGCAGUCGCUAGGCUGAUGUUGGCGGGAGAGCUGGCGGGACCUGAAGCCGCUCUGGGCUGCCUGGAGGGAUGAAGUCCAGGUGGAAAGUCAUUCGCCGUUGCCCGGGGUUAUGACUCCAGGGACCCUCAUCCGAACUUAAUCGUUGGAACAGUGACCAACCCAGAAACUUAGUUGAGUGUUAUUUAUAAAAAGCGCUGUUUUGACUACUGUUGAACUUGGAAGAGCUUUGCCCACGAUACUGAAGCGUAAUUAACUGCCUACAUUUCAAACUUAUGUGAUGACUUCAGGGGAAAAGAGAUUCACAAGAACCAGUAACAGGGAAGCUUAAAUAAGCUUGGAAAUCUUUAAACUUUCAAUAUAGAUUGAACUUUUUGCUGCAUUACCACAAGAUUCUCUAGUAAGGCUUAGUAGAGCUAAAACAGAAUUCACAAGGCAGGAUUCUCACUGACUGUUAUCGCUGCUUCCUCUUUCUUCUUACUGAGGGGAAAAUGCCAAAGCAAUUGAGAAAAAAAAAUACUGUUUUCUCUGAAAUGAAGACUCUUCAAGAUCCUGAUGCUGGAAUGAGUAUUGGACUCUUUGGUCUACUUCUACAGUCACCAGUACAUCUGGCACACACUAUAAUGCCCAACAGUAGAGAGAUGAAAGAAAUGUAGAUGUUGGCAUUUCUAAAAGAGAUGUUGUAUCUUUUAUCUUACUUAAUAGACUAUUAGGCUAUAAAUCUCAAUCUUGGCCAGCAAAUGUGUUUGCCAGCUUUUCUUUAUUCUUUAAAAAAAAAAUUGUAGGAUCAGCAUGGAAAAAUAAUUUGAGCAAGGCUCAAGAAGAUGACAUGAUCUGAUAAACAGUAAUUGAAAUAUGUAUAUGUUUUAAAAGUCUGUUUCAAAUUUCAAGCCUUAUUUUUAAAACCAUGUGAAAGCCUCUUGUGAAACCCAACUGAAGUAGGCAUGGCUGAGUUCAGAGGAGCAGUGUAGAGGAUUAGAAAAAUAAACAGGCAGGAGUGAGACAGCCCUGGAUUCAAAUCCCACUUCUAGGCCUUAGAGAAAUGAUAUAAUAGUAGGGGAUAAUAAUAUUCACCCUGAAGACUGCUGUAGGGAUCAUCAAUAUUUCAUAUAAAGCAUGUCAUAUGGUCAGUGCUCAAUGAAUGGCAAUGCUUUUGUCCAGUUAUAGAAUUUUUUAGUAUAAAAGUUUUGUCUUUCAGAAAAUUAACAAAGAUAUUCAGGACCAGAAUUCAGCUCUGGAUCAAAUAGACCUGAUAUCUACAGAACUUUCCACCCAGAAACAACAGAAUGUACAUUUUUCUCAUCGCCACAUGGCACUUACUCUAAAAUUGAUCACAUAAUCAGAAGUAAAACACUCCUCAGUAAAUUAAAAAGAACUGAAAUCAUAACAGUCUCUCAGACUACAAUGCAAUUAGAUUAGAACUCAAGAUUAGGAAAUUCAGUCAAAACCACACAACUACAUGGAAAUUGAACAACCUUCUCCAGAAUGACUCUUGGGUAAAUAAUGAAAUUAAGGCAGAAAUCAAGAAGUUCUUUGAAACUAAUGAGAAAAAGAGAGAAUGUACCAGAAUCUCUGGGAUGCAGCUAAAAUAGUGUUAAGAGGAAAAUUUAUAGCAUUAAAUGCCCACAUCAAACAGCUAAACAUCUAGGUCUCAAGUUAACAACCUAACAUCUUAACUAAAAUAACUUAGAGAACCAAGAGCAAAUAAACCCCAAACCUAGCAGAAGACAAGAAAUAACCAAGAUCAGAGCUGAACUGAAGGAGACAGAGACACAAAAAGUCCUUUAAAAAAUCAACAAAUCCAGGAGCUGUUUUUUGGAAACAUUAAUUAAAUAGACAACUAGCUAGACUAACAAAUAAGAAAAGAGAGAAGAAUCAAAUAAACACAAUCAGAAAUGAUAAGGGGAAUAUUACCACUGACCCCACAGAAAUACAAACAACCAUCAGAGAAUACUAUGAACACCUCUAUGCAAAUAAACUAGAAAAUGUAGGAGAAACGGAUCAAUUUCUGGACACACAUACCCUCCCAAGACUGAAGCAGGAAGAAAUUGAAUCCCUAAAUAGACCAAUAACAAGUUUUGAAAUUGAGGGAGUAAUAAAAAACCUACCAACCAAAAAGAGCCCAGGACCAGAUGGAUUCACAGCUGAAUUCUACCAGAGUAUAAAGAAGAGCUGAUACAAUUUCUACUGAAAUUAUUCCAAACAAUUGAAAAGGAGAGACUCCUCCCUAACUAAUUCUAUGAGGCCAGCAUCAUCUUGAUACCAAAACCUGGCAGAAAUAC